UGCAGUCAACGGAAACAGGACGCUAGGAUUCCUUCGGGAUGACUUUGUCGCUGUCGAGUGGCGGACGGGUGAGUAAUGCGUAGAAAUUUGCCUUGAAGUGGGGGAUAGCCCGGAGAAAUCCGGAUUAAUACCGCAUGCGCUCUAAGGAGCAAAGCGGGCCUCUUCUUGAAAGCUCGCGCUUUGAGAUAAGUCUACGUCGGAUUAGCUAGUUGGUAGGGUAAAGGCCUACCAAGGCAACGAUCCGUAGCUGGUUUGAGAGGAUGAUCAGCCACACUGGGACUGAGACACGGCCCAGACUCCUACGGGAGGCAGCAGUGGGGAAUAUUGGACAAUGGGCGCAAGCCUGAUCCAGCAAUGCCGCGUGUGUGAAGAAGGCCUGCGGGUUGUAAAGCACUUUUAUUAGGAAAGAAAAGUCUGGGGUUAAUAACCUUCAGACCCUGACGGUACCUAAAGAAUAAGCACCGGCUAACUCAGUGCCAGCAGCCGCGGUAAUACUGAGGGUGCAAGCGUUAAUCGGAAUUACUGGGCGUAAAGCGAGUGUAGGCGGCUUCGUAAGUCGGAUGUGAAAUCCCCGGGCUCAACCUGGGAAUGGCAUUCGAUACUGCGAAGCUAGAGUCUGAUAGAGGGAAGUGGAAUUCCAGGUGUAGCGGUGAAAUGCGUAGAGAUCUGGAGGAACACCAGUGGCGAAGGCGGCUUCCUGGAUCAAGACUGACGCUGAGGUGCAGUCAACUGCAGUCAACAACAGGG
rnacentral:rRNA from 1 species